UGAGCACCCUCUUCUGUAU
rnacentral:misc_RNA from 1 species